rnacentral:rRNA from 1 species
CAAGUCGUGGGGCAGCACAGGUAGCAAUACUGGGUGGCGACCGGCAAACGGGUGCGGAACACGUACGCAACCUUCCUUUAAGCGGGGAAUAGCCCAGGGAAACUUGGAUUAAUACCCCAUAAGACAGUGGACUGGCAUCAGUCAGCUGUUAAAGCUCCGGCACUUAAAGAUGGGCGUGCGGCUGAUUAGGUAGUUGGCGGGGUAAUAGCCCACCAAGCCGACGAUCAGUAACUGGUGUGAGAGCACGACCAGUCACACGGGCACUGAGACACGGGCCCGACUCCUACGGGAGGCAGCAGUAAGGAAUAUUGGUCAAUGGACGCAAGUCUGAACCAGCCAUGCCGCGUGGAGGAUGAAGGCCCUCUGGGUUGUAAACUUCUUUUAUAGGGGAAGAAACCGAUUUUUUCUAAAGUCGUUGACGGUACCCUGUGAAUAAGCACCGGCUAACUCCGUGCCAGCAGCCGCGGUAAUACGGAGGGUGCAAGCGUUAUCCGGAUUCACUGGGUUUAAAGGGUGCGUAGGUGGGCAGGUAAGUCAGUGGUGAAAUCUCCAAGCUUAACUUGGAAACUGCCGUUGAUACUAUCUGUCUUGAAUGUAGUGGAGGUGAGCGGAAUAUGUCAUGUAGCGGUGAAAUGCUUAGAUAUGACAUAGAACAUCGAUUGCGAAGGCAGCUCGCUACACUAUUAUUGACACUGAGGCACGAAAGCGUGGGGAUCAAACAGGAUUAGAUACCCUGGUAGUCCACGCCCUAAACGAUGGAUACUCGACAUCAGCGAUACACAGUUGGUGUCUGAGCGAAAGCAUUAAGUAUCCCACCUGGGAAGUACGACCGCAAGGUUGAAACUCAAAGGAAUUGACGGGGGUCCGCACAAGCGGUGGAAGCAUGUGGUUUAAUUCGAUG